rnacentral:rRNA from 1 species
AUUGAACGCUGGCGGCAUGCUUUACACAUGCAAGUCGAACGGCAGCGGGGAGGAGCUUGCUUCUCUGCCGGCGAGUGGCGAACGGGUGAGUAAUACAUCGGAACGUGUCGAGAAGAGGGGGAUAACCACCCGAAAGGGUGGCUAAUACCGCAUAAAUUCUGAGGAAGAAAGCUGGGGACCUGGGAAUAGGCCUAGCGCUUUUUGAGCGGCCGAUGUCGGAUUAGCUAGUUGGUGAGGUAAAGGCUCACCAAGGCGAAGAUCUGUAGCGGGUCUGAGAGGAUGAUCCGCCACACUGGGACUGAGACACGGCCCAGACUCCUACGGGAGGCAGCAGUGGGGAAUUUUGGACAAUGGGGGCAACCCUGAUCCAGCCAUGCCGCGUGUAUGAAGAAGGCCUUAGGGUUGUAAAGUACUUUUGUUAGGGAAGAAAAGUCAGCUGUGAAUAAUGGCUGAUACUGACAGUACCUAAAGAAUAAGCACCGGCUAACUACGUG